UACGGGGGGAGCAAGCGUUGUUCGGAUUUACUGGGCGUAAAGGGCGCGUAGGCGGCCUCUGCAAGUCGACUGUGAAAUCUCCGGGCUUAACCCGGAACGGUUAGCCGAUACUGCAGGGCUAGAGUGCAGAAGGGGCAACCGGAAUUCUCGGUGUAGCGGUGAAAUGCGUAGAUAUCGAGAGGAACACCUGCGGCGAAGGCGGGUUGCUGGGCUGACACUGACGCUGAGGCGCGAAAGCUAGGGGAGCGAACGGG
rnacentral:rRNA from 1 species